AUUGAACGCUGGCGGCAUGCCUUACACAUGCAAGUCGAACGGUAACGCGGGGCAACCUGGCGACGAGUGGCGAACGGGUGAGUAAUGCAUCGGAACGUGCCCAGUUGUGGGGGAUAACUGCUCGAAAGAGCAGCUAAUACCGCAUACGACCUGAGGGUGAAAGCGGGGGAUCGCAAGACCUCGCGCAAUUGGAGCGGCCGAUGUCGGAUUAGCUAGUUGGUGGGGUAAAGGCCCACCAAGGCGACGAUCCGUAGCUGGUCUGAGAGGACGACCAGCCACACUGGGACUGAGACACGGCCCAGACUCCUACGGGAGGCAGCAGUGGGGAAUUUUGGACAAUGGGCGCAAGCCUGAUCCAGCAAUGCCGCGUGCAGGAUGAAGGCCUUCGGGUUGUAAACUGCUUUUGUACGGAACGAAACGGCGAGCUCUAAUACAGCUUGCUAAUGACGGUACCGUAAGAAUAAGCACCGGCUAACUACGUGCCAGCAGCCGCCGUAA
rnacentral:rRNA from 1 species